UGAGUAACACGUGGGCAAUCUGCCCUGCACUUCGGGAUAAGCCUGGGAAACUGGGUCUAAUACCGGAUAGGACCUUUAGACGCAUGUCUUUUGGUGGAAAGCUUUUGCGGUGUGGGAUGGGCCCGCGGCCUAUCAGCUUGUUGGUGGGGUGAUGGCCUACCAAGGCGACGACGGGUAGCCGGCCUGAGAGGGUGUCCGGCCACACUGGGACUGAGAUACGGCCCAGACUCCUACGGGAGGCAGCAGUGGGGAAUAUUGCACAAUGGGCGCAAGCCUGAUGCAGCGACGCCGCGUGGGGGAUGACGGCCUUCGGGUUGUAAACCUCUUUCACCAUCGACGAAGGUUCGGGUUUUCUCGGAUUGACGGUAGGUGGAGAAGAAGCACCGGCCAACUACGUGCCAGCAGCCGCGGUAAUACGUAGGGUGCGAGCGUUGUCCGGAAUUACUGGGCGUAAAGAGCUCGUAGGUGGUUUGUCGCGUUGUUCGUGAAAUCUCACGGCUUAACUGUGAGCGUGCGGGCGAUACGGGCAGACUAGAGUACUGCAGGGGAGACUGGAAUUCCUGGUGUAGCGGUGGAAUGCGCAGAUAUCAGGAGGAACACCGGUGGCGAAGGCGGGUCUCUGGGCAGUAACUGACGCUGAGGAGCGAAAGCGUGGGGAGCGAACAGGAUUAGAUACCCUGGUAGUCCACGCCGUAAACGGUGGGUACUAGGUGUGGGUUUCCUUCCUUGGGAUCCGUGCCGUAGCUAACGCAUUAAGUACCCCCGCCUGGGGGAGUACGGCCGCAAGGCUAAAACUCAAAAGGAAUUGACGGGGGGCCCGCACAA
rnacentral:rRNA from 1 species